UGGUCCUGCGGUUCUGAAACCACACCUUCACCUGAGGGGAGCACAAGACAGGACAUCAGUGCCAUAAACGUUUUGGAUGUAGUUGAGGAAGCGUCUAGGAGACACCGGUGUGUGCCAUUGCUGUGGGUCUGCUGGUGUUGAUUUCAGGCCAGGAAAGUGAGUCUGUCAAAUGGAUAAAGGUCCUUUCCUUAAAUAGAGAAAGGUGCUCCAGAUGAUGUGGGAGUGGCAUAGGUUAGUCUCUCACAACAAACGAGAAAAGUUAACAUGGAGCAGCUAAAUCUCAAACCUCAGGGGAAUCAUAUAAAACGCAGAACAGAGGAGUGUCUGCUCGCAAAAAGCGAGGGUGACAGAGCUCGUUAUAAAACAAGAAUGAACAUUGGCUUGGCUUUUCGGAGAUGGACAACGGAGUGAUUUGAAAUGUCGUAAAAGCGACGCAGAGAUGACGUUAGGCUACUCAACUGGCUGUUGGCACAUGUGAAGUGAAGAGCUCUCCAGAUCCUGUAGAAGUGUUAAGACAAAGGCUUCUGUUCAAACCAACUGGGAGAGGGAAAUACUAAAAUAGCUUCCCAAUAACCUUUUUUUCUGGAUUACAAUGAGAAGUGAGAGCAAGAUUAGCCGCUUUCCUAUUUAAAGAGGAGUCUUUAAUGCGGAAGGAGUAUUUUGGUAUAGAAAGCGAGCACCGAGCGAGAACUCAUGGGGUUAUGCUCCAGUAAGUCUACAGUUGCAGUGGCUCCCUAUACUGGGAUUCAAAGCACUGAUUCAGGAGACCGAGCUGACAGCACCAUGCAAGCUUCAAUUUGGGAUGAUCAAACCUCCACGGACCAGGCUGAUAAGAACAAGGCCGACCAUGUGUGGAGCAAGGGCGCUAACCGUCCCGCCAAACGAUACCUGGAGCUGCAGACAUCCAGGGAGGAAGAGGAGGACAGCGGUGAAGAUGAAGUGGUGGAACUGCUGCUGAGUGUCUCUGACAGUGAAGGGAGUCAGUAUCUGGAUUAGUAUGAGUAUCAAUAUGCACCAUAAGACUCCACAAAACCGAUUCAGAGUCGCUGAACAACGCGUAUAGAGAAACGUCUCUUGCGAAGAGCUCAUCGGUCUUCAAUUUGUGGAUCCAAGAUGUCAAAUUUGGUUUGAAAUAUAAUUUCAGACUCAACCUUAAAACUCUGCGUAUUAUUUCUUACAGACGUCCAGUCAUCUGUAUCAAUGCACGUGCGUUUCUGUUUCUCAUGCCUUCCUUGUGAAUAUAAUAUAAUUAAUUUAUAGUAAAUUAAUUAAGUUGAAUAUUUUUUUUGUGAUCUUAUAUUUGUUUAAACCAGCUAAAUCAAUUUCUCCUAAAUCUUAUAUAAGAUCUUUUUUUUUUAGGUUUUGUGACGGAUAAUGAGAAAAAGAAAGGUUCCACAAAGUCAGCUCAUUCGUCACACAAUGGGUUUUCUCUUUCUUCCCAUAAUUAUUCAGUCUCGUGGGAGAUAGGGCCAGGUUGUAAUUACUCAUAUGAGUAUGCUUGUUGAACUUCUGAAAAUAGAUAAACAUUUUGCUUGAAUAAUGGCAGAAUGAAUGAAUCAUGACUCGGUUGGUGACAGAUAACAGGGUUUCCUUUCCUGCAGCAAGAGAAUCUGAUUAGAUUUUUUUUCUGUGAAAUCAGGGGAAACCCAUCGCUGGCAUUUGUGAACCAUACCUGCAUUUUUUCUUUGGGAUCUGUCUCUCUCAUGACAUUUACAUGCAUUUGGGGCAAAUUGAAUUUACAACCCACAAAAAGUAUAACAAUCAAAGUUAAUUUAAAAGAUAAUAUUGUGAACUAGAUUGUAGAAGUCGCAAUAUUCAUUCAGAUAUCAAGGUAGACUGAAUGAGAUAUAAGCAAAUAUGUUAAAGGUAUACUUGCCUAGAACUCACCAUUUUAUUAAGACAAAAUUAAGUUGAAACAUGCUUUAGUGAUGACAGAAAUACUGUAUGUUGUUUGUGCUUCUUAUAAUUAUCAUGGAUAGAUGAAUUAAUGUCCUAGAUUUACUUAAAUAUGUAAUCUUUUUUUUUUUUUUUUUUUUUUUACAAAGCAUAUAAUAGGUUUUAUACUUUUGUGAAGUAGGAUUUCAACAAAAUGGAGCCAAAUAAAAAUGUCUCUUUAUUAUUAUGUGCAUAAUACAUUCUGCAGUAUGGGGCCCUCAAGUGGUUGGAGGUAUCUGGGCACUUGGUAUUUUGCUGUGUUAGAUAAUCUAUGCCUGGGUUACCAGAAAAUAAGCAAUAGUUUAGUAGCGUAAUCCAUUACAUUACACAGGUAAUAUAAUAUAAUACUUUUAGAUUACUUUUGACCAAAUUCUUCCAAAUCCAAUAUUAUCACAUCAAGUUGAAUAGGAUAAUAUUGUACCUUACUGAUAAAAAAUACAAAGAGAUAGAAAAUAAAUUCUGUUCUGUGCAUUAAACAUUACAUUACAUCAGGCUUUCCCAGAUGGGGUUCAUGAAGG